AUUUAAAUAGCUUAUUUAGAGUUUAAUAUUGAAAAUAUUAAGGAAAAUUUAUAUUUUUUAAAUA
rnacentral:tRNA from 1 species